CUACGGGACGCUGCAGUGGGGAAUAUUGCACAAUGGAGGAAGCUCUGAUGCAGCAACGCCGCGUGGAGGAUGACACUUUUCGGAGCGUAAACUCCUUUUAUAUAGGAAGAAGAUGACGGUACUAUAUGAAUAAGCGCCGGCUAACUCCGUGCCGGCAGCCGCGGUAAUACGGAGGGCGCAAGCGUUACUCGGAAUCACUGGGCGUAAAGAGCGUGUAGGCGGAUUAAAAAGUCAGAAGUGAAAUCCUAUAGCUUAACUAUAGAACUGCUUCUGAAACUCUUAAUCUAGAAUAUGGGAGAGGUAGAUGGAAUUUCUGGUGUAGGGGUAAAAUCCGUAGAGAUCAGAAGGAAUACCGAUUGCGAAGGCGAUCUACUAGAACAUUAUUGACGCUGAGACGCGAAAGCGUGGGGAGCAAACAGGAUUAGAUACCCCCGUAGUC
rnacentral:rRNA from 1 species